AGUAUUAAAUGUGCUUAGAAAAUUCCGUAAAAUUUAUGUACUAACCCCCUGUGUUGUGGACUUCAUGUAAGUAUCCUCAAUUCGCGAAAAUUCAACAGUUGUCCAGGUUUGUGAAUUUCAGGCCAGACAGACCCGCGACCAGAAAAGUCUCCGAUCCGAACUGGAUCGAGGUUUUGGAUACUCCACCAUUGUCAGACAUCCCGAGCACGUUCCUGAAGUCGAAAUCGGCAAAGGUAA
rnacentral:misc_RNA from 1 species